rnacentral:miRNA from 1 species
CAGGAUGUCCAGUUAAAUUCGAAUUUCAGAAAAUGAGUCAUUUUUUUUUUUGUAUAAAUACGUCCCAUGAUAUAUUUGGGAUAUACUUAUACUAAAAAUUAUUCUUUGCUUUUUUUGAGAAUCAAAUUUAACUGGGUGAUCUGU